rnacentral:rRNA from 1 species
UACAGAGGGGGCGAGCGUUGUUCGGAAUUACUGGGCGUAAAGGGCGCGUAGGCGGCCUUCUAAGUCGAACGUGAAAUCCCCGGGCUCAACCCGGGAACUGCGUCCGAUACUGGGAGGCUUGAAUCCGGGAGAGGGAUGUGGAAUCCAGGUGUAGCGGUGAAAUUCGUAGAUAUUCGCAAGAACACCAGUGGCGAAGGCGGCUCACUGGCCCGAUACUGACGCUGAGGCA